UUGUUGGUGAGGUAAAGGCUUACCAAGGCUUCGAUCAGUAGCUGGUCUGAGAGGACGACCAGCCACACUGGGACUGAGACACGGCCCAGACUCCUACGGGAGGCAGCAGUGGGGAAUUUUGGACAAUGGGGGAAACCCUGAUCCAGCCAUGCCGCGUGAGUGAAGAAGGCCUUCGGGUUGUAAAGCUCUUUCAGCCGGAACGAAACGGUUACGAUUAAUACCUGUAACUACUGACGGUACCGGAAGAAGAAGCACCGGCUAACUACGUGCCAGCAGCCGCGGUAAUACGUAGGGUGCAAGCGUUAAUCGGAAUUACUGGGCGUAAAGCGUGCGCAGGUGGUUUUGUAAGCCAGAUGUGAAAGCCCCGGGCUCAACCUGGGAACUGCGUUUGAAACUACAAGACUAGAGUGUGGCAGAGGGGGGUGGAAUUCCGCGUGUAGCAGUGAAAUGCGUAGAGAUGUGGAGGAACACCGAUGGCGAAGGCAGCCCCCUGGGUUAACACUGACACUCAGGCACGAAAGCAUGGGGAGCAAACAGGAUUAGAUACCCUGGUAGUCCAUGCCCUAAACGAUGUCAACUAGUUGUCGGGCCUUUACGGGCUUGGUAACGUAGCUAACGCGUGAAGUUGACCGCCUGGGGAGUACGAUCGCAAGAUUAAAACUCAAAUGAAUUGACGGGGACCCGCACAAGCGGUGGAUUAUGUGGAUUAAUUCGAUGCAACGCGAAAAACCUUACCUACCCUUGACAUGUAUCGAAGCCCGCAGAAAAGCGGGGGUGCCCGAAAGGGAACGAUAACACAGGUGCUGCAUGGCUGUCGUCAGCUCGUGUCGUGAGAUGUUGGGUUAAGUCCCGCAACGAGCGCAACCCUUGUCAUUAAUUGCCAUCAUUUAGUUGGGCACUUUAAUGAGACUGCCGG
rnacentral:rRNA from 1 species